UUAGGCCUAGUAAUUAUUAUUUGUGCAUCUUAUCUUUCAUAUUUUUAUGUUUAAUAUAUAUGUACAAAUAACAAAAAUAACAAAAUAAUUAAAGAAAAACAAAAAACAAAACAAAAAAGAAUAAGAUUUGCACCUCAUACGUUCGAUUACCUUUAAAACGUGCAUCUUUACCGCGCGGUCACAUUUCACCUGACAUAGACAGUAAUAUCAUACCUCAUAAUACAAGAACAACCAGAAGAUACAAAUAUAUGGCGCGACAAUACCCGGGCGAGGGUUUGUAAUCUCUGAUUAUCUUGUUUUGUAUUGCAAAUUAUUGUAUAUUUUCAUAAAUGUAUUUUGAAUGUAAUGAACCAGAUAUACUAAAGUAGGCUUUACAGCUAUGAGGAUUUAAAAAUUAUGUAAAAGCAGCAUUUUUAUUAUGUUAAUCUGUUUUAUGUACCAAAUAAUGCUAUAUUGAACGAAACCGAAUUUAAUUGAGUUACAAUUUGAAUACAAUGCAGAGUUGGAAUUGUAGGCCCUACGUAAGAAACAACAUAAAUUAAAAUAUAUAAUGUACUGUAUACACUUUGAAUUUUCUGUUUAUGUUUGUGUAAUUAAAAAGACAACAUUAAAUUUUAAUAUAGGGCCUACUACAAAUAUGUAUAUUCUUCUGUAAUAAAAAAAUAGCUAUCUUAUAGUUUGUAAUAAACUAGUAUAUGUUGCAAUUAAUUUUUUUUUAAUUGUUUAUAGUAGAGUAAUUUCAUUUACAAGAUUUUAAACUUAAAAAGCAGUUCUGUCUUACUUUUUACCGUUUUCAUCAUUAAACCUACUUUUUAUUGUAGCCUACAUGUGUAACCCUGUUAAAUUUUACUUUUUUUUUAUAAGCUUUAAAAUUUGUAUUAUUUGCCACUCUGCAAGGUAUAAAUGUUGUUAUUCCAUUUAAGUUUUAACUUUGGUAUAUGUACUGUACUGUAUAUAAUAUAGCUGAGGCCACUCAGUGUAAGUGUCCCUGCUAUUCUCAUUAGUGGUUAUGUUUAGGAAUUUAUCCUCUGUUUCUAAGGCAACUGCUGGGCAAUAGGUGUUAUCGGACACCCCCACAGUGAUAAGGAAUUCACUUCUCACUGACCCUGCUUACAAACAACAUCUGUAAGGAUUGAGGACCUAAUAUUUGCCACACCUUAUUUGAAAAGUCAUACUUUUAACAUCUUUUAUAUUGCAAUUUUAUCAACCCGGAGAAGUCUUACUUUUACCAAUUUUAUACUGCAUUUUAUCAACUGUUUAUGAUUUGACACCUUGGCUCUUUUAUAGACGAAAACUUAAUUUCGGAUAUUAUAAUUUUGGCUUUAACAUGACAAUUGGAAAGGACCUGUAAUCGUACCAGCAAUUGGAAGUGUGGAACUCUUUUCGUAGAUUGAACUUCUUUUUAAAACUCUUUUGGAAACACUUAGACAAGAAAGAACAAUUUCGCGAUCAAGAAUUUGCUCAUCAACCUAGAUUCUAUUCAUAUUGUGAAAUCAAAUCUCACCAAUUCAUUUUUUUAUUUUCAAAUAAAUACUUAAUAUAUAUAUAUU
rnacentral:lncRNA from 1 species